GUGUUUUCAUUCAUUUAUUCUCCUGUUGUCACACUUCUAGCGUGUGCUAUUUCUAUAAAGAUCCAGUUUUACGAUGCAAACGGUCCUCAAUAUUAUUGUAAGUACUGAUACAGCUUCAAAAGCAACGAUCAAUUAUUUAUCAUAUUCAAUAAUAAUUAAAUAACAAACCGAAAAACAAGCAAACAAUAAA
rnacentral:ribozyme from 1 species